AUGCCAAAGGACAGGAGCUCCCGUUCAGUCUCGCACGAGGGCUGCCGAUCUCGUGUCUCCCCAUACAAGUUGCGGAGUGGUUCUCGCAGGUCAGAGGAGGCUGCUGCCGCCGCCGCCGCUGCAGCAGCAAAGCAGGCUGCAGAAUGGGAGGAGGUUCGCUGUCCUGUGUGCAUGGAUCACCCUCAUAAUGCUGUUAUGCUUGUCUGCUCGUCACAUGAGAAAGGCUGCCGCCCUUUCAUUUGCGACACAAGCUACAGACACUCCAAUUGCCUUGAUCAGUACCGUAAAGCCUCCAAGGAGUCCUCUAAGGAUUCAGGGGCAGCAGAAUGUGCUGAGUGCCAGCAGCCAGUUAAACUCGCAUGUCCAUUAUGUCGUGGGCCGGUCAGCCAUUGGACCAAGGAUUAUGAUGCACGGAAGUUCAUGAAUUCUAAGGAUCGAGCAUGCACCAUGGAGUCAUGUGAGUUCAAGGGUGCAUACAACCAGUUGAGGAAGCACGCUAGGGAGGAUCAUCCUGCUGUCCGACCAAUGGAGGUGGACCCCAAUCGACAGCGAGACUGGCAUAGGAUGGAGCAGCAGCGUGAUCUUGGGGAUUUGUUCAGCAUGCUGCGUUCGGGGAUCAGUGGCAGAGAAGAUGGGGUUGGAGUCAGUGAAGGUGACGAGGGCGUCAGUGAGAGAUCCUUGCACGCCACGUCCAUAACGAUGGUCUUCAUUGUGCGGUCAGGCAGGUCCAUCCUACACUACACAGACGGGGAAAUCCCAGGUCGUCGAUCAAGCGGCAAUGGUGAUGCUGAGGCCACUACUACCGACAAUGAGGAAACUGACCUGGCAAUGUCAACACAGGCAUCUGCUGGUUCUCAGGAAGAUGCUGGAGAAGCCGAUGGCGAUCCUGUGCAGUGA
rnacentral:rRNA from 1 species